UUUCCUUCUGAUACUCUGUGUGCAUAUUUUAAACUAAGUAGAAUACAGUUAAGUGAUUUGCCUAAUCUUGCAUGAUUACUCUUUGCUUUUGAGCAACUUACACAAAUAUAGGUCCAUGAUCAUGCAAUAUCUUCAGUUUAUAUUCAUGAAUUUGGUUCGUUGUAUUACUUACAUCUUCACUUCUUUGAAGAUAUCUACCUAGAGUUGGAAUUCAGUUUUUGAGUUUUCUUUUUUUAUGUCCAAUUUAUCCUAUGCUUUAAUUGGAAUGUAUUUUUUUGUGUUCUAUAGUUCAUCUAGGUUCUCCGGGUUUUUUAUCCCCUAUUGGGUAAUUAGAUAAUUUUUCCUUUUUAUUUAAGUUUUAUUUUUUAUUUUCUGUAUGUAUGGUUUGCCCGUGCGCCGUGCCUGCCGUUCGAGCCACCUGGAGGAUUUCCUCAAGUGUUUGAUGUUGUCCUUGACGAGGAUUGCUUCAUGUGGAUGUUCUCCCUACAAGAACUUUGGGCAAUCGGAGGAGAAGGACGUAGCAUGGAAGAAAUGGAGAGGAUGGAGAUCUAUCGAGACAC